CGCCUUCUCGCAUUCAGGAGAAACUAUUCGCAAACACAGUGACAUUUAAAACUGAAAAAGAAAUAGAAUACGUGAAACGAACGAGCAACGCCCACUUGCAUAGAUCACCAGCACAUAGCGGACCACAGAGGACGUGGGAAAUUGCAAGCUCAGUAGUUUGUAGCGCAUUUGCAGUCCAAACUUGAGACACUUGCAAACGGUAAAUACUUUAAAAUGCAAAAUAAAACUAAAUGAGAAUAGAAGUAAAGAAGAAGAAUGUCUAAACUAAGUGAGUGUAUAGCUUUUGACUGUCAGCAGAAACAAGAAAUUUAUAUACAAUAAAUAAUGUACAUAUAAUUUUUUCUAAAAACAAAUACAAAAACAAAGCUGGCGAGCAAAACGAGCACAAUGUAACUAGAAUAUGGUUAUUAUAGUUUCGUGUUGAUAUGCAAUUUAAUGGCAAAAAUCUGAGAUCAAGACCAACAAGUGCCAUGAGACAAAAGAAUUAAAAAAUAUAUUUGAGUUAAAAAAUGCCGCUGCAGCAGCGAUUUCUACAAAGGCACUGCUAAAGUUACUCGCAAGUAGGAAGCGAGCGGCGAGUUAACUGCGGUGCGCAGUGUUGCAUGCACAGCAAUUCUUACGCUAGAAGACAAUUGAUUUGCACGGAAGUGCGCGCAGCGUUGACAGUUAAUUUUAAUGAUGCACGAAAUUCAGAACGCACGUGCUGGGCGAAAUAUAAAAGCAGGAAAAGCAGAUGAAAGUAAGCCAAUAGCUUAAUAAAUACGAAUGGAUAUACAGUGGUGAUGAGAAUAAUUGCAAUGCAAGCGGAGUAUGAAGAUCUCAAUCAAUAAUUGUUAAUGAAACACGACUUCAGCCGUUUUCAACUUUGAAGAAGAAAAAGAUUGUUUCUGUACUGAAAAUAGGAAAUCUUGUUCCAAGAAAAGCUAAAAGUGAACUCUAUGUGUUAGCAAUGCCAAUAUAAGCUAAAGUCUCCGAUAAUUCAAAAAUAACUGCAGAUGUUGUUUGAACUGACGUACUUAUAGCGUCCAACUGGUCAAAAAUAUAUUCUAAGCUAUAAAAAUUCCAUAUUUGAGAACGAAAUUUGUCAUUCCUACGACAGUAAGUAACCAGGAUAUAUAUGUUAAUUUAAGGUAUAUAUGGUACACACGGAUUUAUAUCCAAAGCAU